rnacentral:rRNA from 1 species
UACGGAGGAUGCGAGCGUUAUCCGGAUUUAUUGGGUUUAAAGGGUGCGUAGGCGGGCUUUUAAGUCAGCGGUAAAAAUGCGGGGCUCAACCCCGUCCGGCCGUUGAAACUGGGGGCCUUGAGUGGGCGAGAAGAAGGCGGAAUGCGUGGUGUAGCGGUGAAAUGCAUAGAUAUCACGCAGAACCCCGAUUGCGAAGGCAGCCUUCCGGCGCCCUACUGACGCUGGGGCACGAAAGUGCGGGGAUCGAACAGG